AUAGCGCAUAGUACUGUGAAGGAAAGGUGAAAAGGACCCCGGGAGGGGAGUGAAAGAGAACCUGAAACCAUAUGUUUACAAGCUGUGGAACAUCUUUAUAUGAUGAACCGCGUACUUUUUGUAGAACGGUCCGGCGAGUUACGCUGGCUGGCGAGGUUAAGGGCUGAAGGCCUGGAGCCGAAGGGAAACCGAGUCUGAACAGGGCGAAAUAGUCAGUCGGAGUAGACCCGAAACCGGGUGAUCUAUCCAUGUCCAGGUUGAAGUUGCCGUAAAAGGCAAUGGAGGACCGAACCCACAUCCGUUGAAAAGGGUGGGGAUGAGGUGUGGAUAGGGGAGAAAUUCCAAUCGAACCCGGAGAUAGCUGGUUCUCCUCGAAAUAGCUUUAGGGCUAGCCUCAUGCAAGUCUUACGGAGGUAGAGCACUGAAUUCCUAAGGGGGCGUCAAAGCUUACCAAGGGAUAUCAAACUCCGAAUGCCGUGUAGAUGGUGCAUGGGAGUCAGACUAUCCGAGAUAAGUUGGGUAGUCAAAAGGGAAAGAGCCCAGACCUACAGCUAAGGUCCCAAAAUGUGUGUUAAGUGGAAAAGGAUGUGGGAUUUCGAAGACAACUAGGAUGUUGGCUUAGAAGCAGCCAUCCAUUAAAAGAGUGCGUAAUAGCUCACUAGUCGAGAGGUCCUGCGCCGAAAAUGUCCGGGGCUGAAACACACUACCGAAGCUUGGGAAUUGACGAAUGUUAAUUGGUAGAGGAGCAUUCUUAACGGGGCGAAGCUGUACCGGAAGGAGCAGUGGACUGUUAAGAAGAGAGAAUGCCGGAAUGAGUAGCGAGAGGAAGGUGAGAAUCCUUCCGGCCGAAUAUCUAAGGUUUCCAGAGUAAAGCUGAUCUGCUCUGGGUAAGUCGGGGCCUAAGGCGAGGUCGAAAGACGUAGUCGAUGGAUAACAGGUAAAGAUUCCUGUACUAUAUCAUAACAGAACUGUGGGGACGCAGACAGAGAGCAUAAGCCGGGAAUGGAAAAACCGGUACAAGCGAGGUAGGAGUGCAUCAGGCAAAUCCGGUGCACAAUCUGAAGACGUGAUGUGGGGCGUAAAGCCGGAAGUAUGUGAGCUGGCUGCCAAGAAAAGCCGCUAUUGUUUAUGAUAUACCCGUACCGUAAACCGACACAGGUGGAUGAGGAGAGAAUCCUAAGGCCGACGGGAGAAGCAUUGUUAAGGAACUCGGCAAAAUGACUCCGUAACUUCGGGAGAAGGAGUGCCAUGUAAAAGUGGCCGCAGAGAAUUGGCCCAAGCAACUGUUUAGCAAAAACACAGGUCUAUGCAAAACCGAAAGGUGAGGUAUAUGGGCUGACGCCUGCCCGGUGCUGGAAGGUUAAGGGGAGAGGUUAGUCGUAAGGCGAAGCUUUGAACUUAAGCCCCAGUAAACGGCGGCCGUAACUAUAACGGUCCUAAGGUAGCGAAAUUCCUUGUCGGGUAAGUUCCGACCCGCACGAAAGGCGUAAUGAUUUGGGCACUGUCUCAACAAUGCACCCGGUGAAAUUGAAAUACCAGUGAAGAUGCUGGUUACCUGCGCCAGGACGGAAAGACCCCAUGGAGCUUUACUCCAGCUUGAUACUGGGAUUCGAUAUUGCAUGUACAGGAUAGGUGGGAGACUGAGAACUGAUGACGCCAGUUGUCAGGGAGUCACUGUUGGGAUACCACCCUUGUAGUAUUGGAUUUCUAACCAGCAGCCGUGAACCGGCUGGGGGACAAUGUCAGGUGGGGAGUUUGACUGGGGCGGUCGCCUCCGAAAGGGUAUCGGAGGCGCUCAAAGGUUCCCUCAGAAUGGUUGGAAACCAUUCGAAGAGUGCAAAGGCAGAAGGGAGCUUGACUGCGACACCGACGGGUGGAGCAGGUACGAAAGUAGGACUUAGUGAUCCGGUGGUAUAAAGUGGGAUUGCCAUCGCUCAACGGAUAAAAGCUACCCUGGGGAUAACAGGCUUAUCACUCCCAAGAGUUCACAUCGACGGAGUGGUUUGGCACCUCGAUGUCGGCUCAUCGCAUCCUGGGGCUGAAGUAGGUCCCAAGGGUUGGGCUGUUCGCCCAUUAAAGCGGUACGCGAGCUGGGUUCAGAACGU
rnacentral:rRNA from 1 species